rnacentral:rRNA from 1 species
AGAGUUUGAUCAUGGCUCAGGACGAACGCUGGCGGCGUGCCUAAUACAUGCAAGUCGAACGAAACUUUCUUACACCGAAUGCUUGCACUCACCGUAAGAAGUUGAGUGGCGGACGGGUGAGUAACACGUGGGUAACCUGCCUAAAAGAAGGGGAUAACACUUGGAAACAGGUGCUAAUACCGUAUAUCUCUAAGGAUCGCAUGAUUCUUAGAUGAAAGAUGGUUCUGCUAUCGCUUUUAGAUGGACCCGCGGCGUAUUAACUAGUUGGUGGGGUAACGGCCUACCAAGGUGAUGAUACGUAGCCGAACUGAGAGGUUGAUCGGCCACAUUGGGACUGAGACACGGCCCAAACUCCUACGGGAGGCAGCAGUAGGGAAUCUUCCACAAUGGACGCAAGUCUGAUGGAGCAACGCCGCGUGAGUGAAGAAGGUCUUCGGAUCGUAAAACUCUGUUGUUAGAGAAGAACACGAGUGAGAGUAACUGUUCAUUCGAUGACGGUAUCUAACCAGCAAGUCACGGCUAACUACGUGCCAGCAGCCGCGGUAAUACGUAGGUGGCAAGCGUUGCCCGGAUUUAUUGGGCGUAAAGGGAACGCAGGCGGUCUUUUAAGUCUGAUGUGAAAGCCUUCGGCUUAACCGGAGUAGUGCAUUGGAAACUGGAAGACUUGAGUGCAGAAGAGGAGAGUGGAACUCCAUGUGUAGCGGUGAAAUGCGUAGAUAUAUGGAAGAACACCAGUGGCGAAAGCGGCUCUCUGGUCUGUAACUGACGCUGAGGUUCGAAAGCGUGGGUAGCAAACAGGAUUAGAUACCCUGGUAGUC